rnacentral:lncRNA from 1 species
UCAUAGCAUCCAGCAUUGUACUUACUUCACAGGAGGUGCCCCCAAAUAUAUUUGACUGAUUACAACCUUCUUCACUGAAGAAUUAAAACAGGUAAAUCUUUGAUGAACCAAUCCCAUUGAUCCCCUAGAAGCCCACUCAGUUGUAUGAGUUUUUGAGUGAAGACCAUGAGGAACUCUUAUAUUAGCCUAAGUCAUCCCAAACAUACUUAACUCCUGGAAUGGGGACCCCAGAAGAAGAGCAAGUCUGGUUGCUAACAGUUUUGAAGCCAUUUUAUUGUGAGCACUGCAUGGCCCUGAAGCUCCCAGACUGGAGAGCAUCUCUGUACCCUAAGGACGAUCUGAUCUUCUCAAGAAACCAGCACCAGAACCCACCUGAUCUCCAGAUAAUUCUUUGGGCUAAUUAGAGAAAAUGGAAGAUCCAUCUCUUUUUCCAUAAUUGGGCUACAGCUUGGCACUGAAUCAACCCUGGAUGGUAGAGCCUUUUCAGCUACGGUAUUUAGCAACUCUUACACCAUUCAUUGAAUUUAUUUCUGGAUUUUCCCCCUCCAAGUAUCCUUUCACAUCCUUAUCCAAAUUCUGCCCACUUCUCUCCCUGUCUGGAGAUUAUUUCUAUGAUAAGAAAUUAAUUAGCCUGUCUGUACUACCUGUUCCAGGAGACUUUGAACAACUGCGUGGGUAAACACUAGAUGUGGUC